ACCCGAGUCUCCAACUCCCCAUCCCCCAGCCGCAGCCUAGAGCCCCAGAACCGCGGCACGCACGGCCGCCCGCCAUCAGCUGCUCGCGCAAUCACGGCCACUCGACCGCGUCUCCCCAUCCAGCCGCUGCCCGCCGGCCGGCCGCCAUCGGCUGCUGCUCGCCGGCCGUCGCCCUCCAUCCCGAGCCCCCGCCGGCCGCCGCCCGACUGCCCCGAGCCCCCAAGGCCCCGAUGCCCGCCAUCGGCUGCGGCUCGCCGGCCGCUCGCUGUCCGCGCCGGCAACCGGCUGCCGCUCUCCAUCGAGGGCCCCCGCCGCCCGCCGCCCGACCGCCCCGAGCCCCCAAGGCCCCGACGCCUGCCCGUUGUCGCUUCCCAUGUCGCGCGCUGGAGGAGCAGGAGCAGGACGCUGCGCUGGCUCUGUACCCUCAUAGAAGCACCUAGGCUUGGGGUCGUCAUUCGGAAGAUUGCUCCCAUCACCGUUGCCACCACCAUCUUCUAUUAAAGGCAGCAGCAGCGGCUGCGCAUCUGCUUCAGGUGGCUUCAUCUUCAGCAGCCAAGAAUGACAAUGCAAAUCAAGUAGUUGGUCUUGACAGUGGCAGUGGAACACCAACACAAGGAUCUGUUCUUAGGGUUGAUGGUAGUGACACAAACACACAGCAAACACAAGAUCAAGGUAUUGUACCUACACCAACACAAGGAUCUAUUCUCGGGGUUGAUGGUAGUGACACAAACACACAGCAAACACAAGAUCAAGGUGUUGUACCUACUGUAGAUAUUAUUGCUCUUGAAGAUGAUGAUGAGGGAGAGGGAGAGAGAGAGAGGAAGUUCAGGGGAUAACAAAGAGGCUGAAAAAGUGCACAUUUAUUGUGUGAAAAUACUUUAACAAGAAAAUAGAGAUAGUUGAGGUGGAUGGAAAGAAGUAUGAGCAGUUGUGGGGCUACUGUAAAUUCCCAAGAUGCAAGCAGAGGUAUAGAGCUGAGUGCAACUAUGGCACUACCGGAUUUAGGAACCAUCUAAAGUCAGCACAUAAUAUUGUCAAAGGGCAGCUGCAACUCAAGGCAGAAAAGGAUCAUGGGAAAAAUGUAACUACUUUUCAGCCGUACAAGUAUGAUCAAGAAGCUAGUGUGAAAACGCUCUAUUUGGCAACAAUAAUGCAUGAGUAUCCAUUUAAUAUUGUUGAGCAUGACUACUUUGUGGAAUUCAUCAAGUCCUUGCGCCCUAGCUUCCCAUUGAAAUCUAGGAUCACUGCUAGAAAGGAUAUAAUGGACAUAUAUUUAGAAGAAAAGGAGAAGUUAUAUGCAUACUUGAAAACAGUCCCUAGCCAUUUUAGUGCCACCAUGGACAUGUGGACAUCUUGUCAAAAUAAAGGAUACAUGUGUACGACCUUGCAUUGGGUUGAUGAUGAGUGGCAUAUUCAGAAGAGGAUUGUGGGUUUCUUUCAUGUAGAGGGUCGGCAUACUGGUCAUAAGUUGGCAGAGUUCUUUACCGAAGUGAUGGUUAAGUGGUUUGUUGAGAAAAAUUUAUUUGCCUUAACUUUAGACAAUGCAUCAAGUAACCUAGUGGCAGUCACUGAUAUUAUUGAUGAUCUUAGAGAGAAUGGCAAUGCUUCUUUAGUUUGUGAUGGGAUAUUUUUUUCAUAUUAGAUGUGCAUUACAUACUUAACCUGGUUGCAUGAGAUGGGCUACCUGUUAUUUUAAAAGCACUUGACAAAAUUAAAGCAUUGGCAGUAACUGUGAAGAGCUCUCCUUUGCAAUAGGAGGAGCUCAUGAAACGUGCUGCUGAGUGUGAGCUAGAUACAUCAAAAGCCAUUCAACUUGAUGUUUCAACAAGGUGGAACUCCACCUAUUUGAUGCUAAGGGAUUUGUUGCACUACAAGCCUGCUUUCAUAGGCUCAAGGCAUCGAACCGCUGUAAGUAUGGUAAGAUUUCUCCUUCAGAGAGUGAACGGGCCAUGGCUGUCAAAGUGUUUCAGUGCUUGAAGAAAUCUUUUGAUCUUACUGAAUUGCUUUCUGGUACCUCAUAUCCUACUGCCAAUCAUUUUUUGAGAUAAAGGAGCUGCGGGAUAAAUGGUGUGUUGGUGCAGAUUUGACUAUUAGGCAAAUAGCAAUUUCUAUGAGUAAAAAGUUUGAGAAAUAUUGGAGCUGUUCUAGUAUGAGUCUUGCUGUUGCAUGCUUCCUUGAUCCAAGGUGUAAGAAGAAACUUGUUGAAUUCUACAUGAGAAAAUUCUAUGGUGAUUAUUAUUAGAUUCGGCUUGAUGAGUUUGUUAGUAUUUUGAAGAACUUGUAUCAGUUUUAUGCUAGCUCUCAACCUGCUUCUUCAAGGAGUGAUAUCAAUACAAAUGAACAUGUCAGCCCAACAAAUUCUUUAUUUGAAAACCAAGAUACUGAACUUGAGAAGUUCUUAUAUGAUGAUUGUGGGACUAAUGGAAGUGGCUCAAAUAAGUUGGAUAAGUACAUGGCAGAGUCACUUUUGAAGCAAAAUUUAUUUAAUAUUUUAGCAUACCGGAAGAAUGAAACAACCAAGUAUCCUAUUUUGUCACAAAUUGCUUGUGAUAUGAUGGCUAUACAAGUGUCAACAGUUGUUUCCGAGUCUACUUUAGUGGUGUAGGUCGAGUUAUUGAUCCUUAUUGUAAUCGUCUUGACCCUGAGAUGGUGCAAGCAUUGAUCUGCACCAAAGAUUGGAUAAAGGCUUUAAAAAAAUUACUAAAACCUGCUGUUUAAUUAGAAUGUUCCAAAAAUAUGUAAUGUACUAAUUCAUAUGUACUGAUCUUUCUUUUUGUUUUUUCAGAUUCUAAAUAUAUUCCUUCAAUCGUGGAUGAUCUGAAACCUCCAGAGACCAUUCCUGUUAGUCCUAGUCAUGAAUAUAUGUGUUGAAAAAUAUAGGAUGCAGAAGCAUAAAGUGAUCCAGAUGUAAUGAAUGAAGAUGGUGAGCUGUGAAAGAAAUCUGAUGCUACUUUAAUGCUAUGUUGAUUGAUGAACUAUUUCAGAACUUGUGCUUUGUGGACUACUCUUGUAAUGUAAUAGUUGUGAACCUAUAGUUUGUUGUUUGGUCAUGUGGAAUUGUGACAGUAAACUUGUUUGUCUAAUUCUCUUAUCGACUGUGUAAUGAACUACUGCUGAUGGAUUAUUGACUUUUGUGCUUGUGUAGCUA